AGAACGAACGCUGGCGGCGUGGAUAAGACAUGCAAGUCGAACGCGACUUACAGCGAUAGCAAUAUCAUUGUAAGUUGAGUGGCGAAAGGGUGCGUAACACGUGGGAAUUUACCAAAAAGUGGGGAAUAGCUUGGCGAAAGCCAAAUUAAUACCGCAUGUGGUCGCAAGACCAAAGCCGGGGACCGCAAGGCCUGGCGCUUUUUGAGAAGCCCGCGGCCCAUCAGCUAGUUGGCGAGGUAAAAGCUCACCAAGGCUAUGACGGGUAGCUGGUCUGAGAGGACGACCAGCCACACUGGAACUGAGACACGGUCCAGACACCUACGGGUGGCAGCAGUCGAGAAUUUUUUCACAAUGGAC
rnacentral:rRNA from 1 species